rnacentral:rRNA from 1 species
UGGCUCAGGACCGAACGCUGGCGGCAUGCCUAAUACAUGCAAGUCGAACGAACUUUCCCGAUGAUUGAAGCUUGCUUCAUGAAUCGGAUCUAAGUGAGUGGCGGACGGGUGAGUAACACGUGGGUAACCUGCCCAAAAGUGGGGGAUAACAUCUGGAAACAGGUGCUAAUACCGCAUAACAACUACUUUCACAUGAUCGUAGCUUGAAAGAUGGCUCUGCUAUCGCUUUUGGAUGGACCCGCGGCGUAUUAGCUAGUUGGUGAGGUAAAGGCUCACCAAGGCAAUGAUACGUAGCCGAUCCUGAGAGGGUAAUCGGCCACAUUGGGACUGAGACACGGCCCAA